GCACCACCUGGACGGAGACGGAGCGGCUCGUGGUGCUGAUGAUGCUUCUCCGCGCGACCCAUCCUGAUGUCUGCUGCUGCCGCGGGAAAGAGGAGAGGAGCGAUACACGCUCCCUCUCUCUCUCUCUCUCUCUCUGUUCAGCUCUCAAUCCUGAAGCUACAGGUGAUGAAACAUAUUUUUGAAAACAGACUGGUGCUGCUGGUGCUGCAAAUGCGCAUCACAUCGAUGCGCCUCGCAGUGCGUCCUGGUUCCUGGAGCAGACAUCGAUAAUCGGCUCUCCAGACAACAAAAAUACGUAAUAUCCUUUUAUGUUUGGUGUUGUUGCACCUUUUCAAAGGGGGCGGGUCCAAUGUGCUGCAGGCCAGCUGGAGAGUGCGGCCUGAAUGCCGAGGGGGCUUUGAAGCAAAGGUCCAGUUAAACCUGCACUGAAAGUAAAUGAUGACCUCAAGUAGCCUACUUCAUGAAAGGAAGGUUGUGGAGCAGCAGUGUCCUGGACUUUAGAGAGCCAUGGGG